UAAUAAAUUGUCUGGGUAUCCAUUACCCACUCAGUACGGUGCUCAAUACAAAUACUCAGGUCAGGUAUCCAUCAAGAAGAAGAAGAUCAUAUCAAAAGUAUAAAAGAAUAAAAAAAGAAGGAGAAUCGUCAUCUGGAGAUGUUCCGUCGAUUCAGGAUGAUUUUACUGCUAAAAUUAUAGGCAAUAUGAUCAAGCAAUGUCACCAUACGUGGUAUCUCGAUAAGCAGUUCUAGCAGAAAAUGUAUUUUGAUGUCACAGAGGCAAUUCGCCAGAUGGGCUAUUCGCUGAGUAGAUUGGAGAUCGAGCCUGAGGUUUGUGAUGGAGAAGGCAAUAGCUUCCAUGAAAUUGGUGACAACCUGAGACGACCCAACAAACCUCUGAACUGCUUCGACCAUGAGAUAGCCCAUCUGACAAACCUCAAAUCAAGGCCCAAUGAGAAUUUGAUCAGGAAUGUUCCUGGGAGGGGAGCACUGCCCGUUUCAACGGUGAAGAUGCUAGCUAGUCGAGAAGGUAAUUACUCAGGGCUCGGGAGAUUCUCAUCAGCUGACUGCCGCCACAUCUUGAGCAGAUACUUACCCAUUAAUGGACCUUGGGUCGUGGAUCAGAUGAGUUCCAGGGCCUACGUGUCCCAAUUUUCUGCUGAUGGUUCUCUUUUUGUUGCUAGCUUUCAGGGAAGCAACAUCAGGAUUUAUGACGUUGAUGGUGGAUGGAAGUUUAAGAAGAACAUUCUCGCAAGGAGUUUGCGGUGGACAAUCACAGAUACCUGUCUUUCUCCUAAUCAACGCUCUCUUGUUUAUGCAAGUAUGUCACCUAUUGUCCACAUUGUUAAUAUUGGAUCUUCCAGUAUGGAGUCUUAUGCAAAUAUUACGGAGAUCCAUGAGGGUUUAGAUUUUUCUGCAUAUGGUGACAGAGGAUAUGCCUUUGGAAUCUUCUCUAUCAAAUAUUCAACCGAUGGUCGGGAACUUGUUGCUGGAAGCAGCGAUGACUCGAUAUAUGUAUACGAUCUUGAAGCAAAUAAACUUUCCCUUCGAAUUUCUGCACACAUGUCUGAUGUUAAUACUGUUUGCUUUGCCGAUGAAAGUGGGCAUCUGGUUUACUCUGGGAGUGAUGAUACUUACUGCAAGGUAUGGGACAGGCGCUGCUUUAACACGAGAGAGAAGCCUGCAGGAGUUCUUGUUGGACACAUUGAAGGCAUUACUUUCAUUGAUAGUCGAGGUGAUGGCCGUUACUUCAUUUCCAAUGGCAAGGAUCAGGCCAUCAAACUCUGGGAUAUCAGAAAAAUGUCCUCUAACGAAACUUCUCAUUGCAGCAGCUUGAGUUUCAGGAAUUACGACUGGGAUUACAGGUGGAUGGACUAUCAUGGUCGUGCUCAACAUCUGAAGCACCCAAAUGACCAGUCCGUUACAACUUAUAGAGGCCAUUCCGUGUUGCGCACGCUUAUCCGGUGCUACUUCUCACCUGAGCACAGCACUGGCCAAAAGUACAUCUACACAGGUUCCAACGACUCGUGGGUUUACAUUUACGAUCUGGUGACGGGAGCUCUGGUGGCGGUUCUCAAGUACCACAGGUCGACUGUUCGGGACUGCAGCUGGCACCCCAGCUACCCGAUGCUCGUCAGCUCUUCUUGGGAUGGAGAGGUUGUUAAGUGGGAGUUCUCCGCCAGCGGGGAAAAUAAGGUCCCUGGGAUGAAGACACGGGUCCGAAGGAGGCACCCCAACUAAAACCUGCGGUCAUAGCUUUCCUCCUACCAUGUACUGGUGCAACGGCUGUACUUAAAACCUACUGAAACAGGAAGUUUAGUUCACCCAAUUUCUCUGUCCCAAGUCAACAGAUUGAAUACGAUUCAAUUCAUUUCAUUUUCCUCGGAGUCCAAUUACUCUUGUUAUAAGCUAAGGCGGCGUUCGGUGGAUUGGUGGAUUACUAGUAAUGUGAUUCCUAGUAAUGCACAUUACCAUCACUUAGGAGGUGUUUGUUUCUAUGUAAAGUUUGAAUUUUACAUAGUAUUUUACGGCAUUUGUUUAUAGAGGUAGUAAAAGUUAACCAUUGUAAUCAUUUGUAUGAGUUAGAAAUUUACGGCCGUGGUCGAUAAAAA